rnacentral:rRNA from 1 species
AUUGAACGCUGGCGGCAUGCCUUACACAUGCAAGUCGAACGGCAGCACGGGAGCAAUCCUGGUGGCGAGUGGCGAACGGGUGAGUAAUAUAUCGGGACGUGCCCAGUCGUGGGGGAUAACGCAGCGAAAGCUGUGCUAAUACCGCAUACGAUCUACGGAUGAAAGCGGGGGAUCGCAAGACCUCGCGCGCUUGGAGCGGCCGAUAUCAGAUGAGCUAGUUGGUGAGGUAAAGGCUCACCAAGGCGACGAUCAGUAGCUGGUUUGAGAGGACGACCAGCCACACUGGAACUGAAACACGGUCCAGACUCCUGCGGGAGGCAGCAGUGGGGAAUUUUGGACAAUGGGCGCAAGCCUGAUCCAGCAAUGCCGCUUGCAGGAUGAGGGCCUUCGGGUUGUAAACUGCUUCUGUACGGAGCGAAACGGUCUUUCCUAAUACGAGAGGCUAAUGACGGUACCGUAAGAAUAAGCACCGGCUAACUACGUGCCAGCCGCCGCUGUAAUAC